rnacentral:tRNA from 1 species
GGGCUAUAGCUCAGCUGGGAGAGCGCUUGGUUUGCAUCCAAGAGGUCUGCGGUUCGAUCCCGCAUAGCUCCACCACU